rnacentral:misc_RNA from 1 species
GAUGAAGAACGUAGCGAAAUGCGAUAAGUAAUGUGAAUUGCAGAAUUCAGUGAAUCAUCGAAUCUUUGAACGCACCUUGCGCUCCUUGGUAUUCCGAGGAGCAUGCCUGUUUGAGUGCCAUGAAAUUCUCAACCUUUUCAGCUUUCUUUGUUGAUCAGGCUUGGAUGUGGGAGUAUGCGGGCUUCUCAGAAGUCGGCUCUCCUGAAAUGCAUUAGCGGGACCUUUGUUGCCUGGCUUUGGUGUGAUAAUUAUCUACGCCAUUGUGGUCAAGCAGCUUAAAAUGAGGUUUCAGCUUCUAACCGUCUCCCCUGAGACAACUUUUUGACAAUUUGACCUCAAAUCAGGUAGGACUACCCGCUGAACUUAAGCAUAUCAAUAAGCGGGGA